rnacentral:lncRNA from 1 species
UUCACUCAACUUCGUUUAUCGGUGUUUGAGCCUAGAAGAUGUCACCCAAAUCUUAUUUAAGAUCCAUGAACAACAUAUGGACAGUUCUCUUUCCUAUAAAAUCCUUUGAAUAUUAUUAAUCAGACCUUCGAAACGAUGUCCUAUAGUGUGGGCAAUGAAACAAUUGAUGUCGACAAACACCAAUAUCCAUAGAUCUUACACUAUAGGAUAGUAUAGAAUAGUCUUAGACCCUUUGCCCAAUAAGGAAUAAACAUCUUGGGCUAUUCCCCUUGCCGUCGAGUUCUUAGUAGCAAGGAUUGAUUAUUUUAUUAUGAACAGAGAUCGAAACCUUAGCAAUAAUAAUGAAAAGUCAAAAGAUUCAUCCUGUACUUAGUCUCCCAAUUUCACAUUCUGAAAAUAUCCAUAAUCAAUAACAAAACACA